rnacentral:rRNA from 1 species
GUGUCAGCCGCCGCGGUAAUACGUAGGUGGCAAGCGUUGUCCGGAUUUAUUGGGUUUAAAGGGUGCGUAGGCGGCCCUGUAAGUCAGUGGUGAAAUACUCCAGCUUAACUGGAGGGGUGCCAUUGAUACUGCAGGGCUUGAGUGGAGUCGAAGUAGGCGGAAUUGACGGUGUAGCGGUGAAAUGCUUAGAUAUCGUCAAGAACACCGAUAGUGAAGACAGCUUACUAGGCUUCUACUGACGCUGAGGCACGAAAGUGUGGGGAUCAAACAGGAUUAGAUACCCCCGUAGUCC